rnacentral:rRNA from 1 species
UCAAGCUACUAAGGGCAUACGGUGGAUGCCUUGGCACUAAGAGCCGAUGAAGGACGCGGUAAGCUGCGAAAAGCCACGGGGAACUGCAAGCAAGUCUUGAUCCGUGGAUGUCCGAAUGGGGAAACCCACCAUCCGUCAUGGGAUGGUAUCCUACGGGAGGGGAACCCGGUGAACUGAAACAUCUAAGUAGCCGGAGGAAGAGAAAUCAAACGAGAUGCCCACAGUAGCGGCGAGCGAAGAGGGCAGAGCCUAAACCAGUCAUCUUCGGAUGGUUGGGGUUACGGACCUGCAUCAACCGAGUCCUACCUAGUCGAAUUACCUGGAAAGGUAAGCCAGAGAGCGUAAGAGCCGCGUAGGUGAAAGGAAGGACGAGGGGGCAGGGAUCCAGAGUACCACGAAGCACGAGGAAUUUUGUGGGAAGUCGGGGGGACCACCCUCCAAGGCUAAACACUUCUUAGUGACCGAUAGCGCAUAGUACCGUGAGGGAAAGGUGAAAAGAACCGCGGGAGCGGAGUGAAAGAGAACCUGAAACCGUAUGUCUACAAGCAGUCGGAGCGCAAGCGACGGCGUGCCUAUUGAAGAAUGAGCCAACGAGUUACGGGCACCAGCGAGGUUAAGCAGGAAAUGCGGAGCCGGAGCGAAAGCGAGUCUAAACAGGGCGGAUAGUUGGUGUUCGUAGACCCGAAACUGUAGUGAUCUACCCAUGAUCAGGUUGAAGCGCAGGUAAAAAUGCGUGGAGGACCGAACCGGUGAGCGUUGAAAAGCUUUCGGAUGAAUCGUGGGUAGCGGUGAAAUUCCAAUCGAACGCAGAGAUAGCUGGUUCUCCUCGAAAUAGCUUUAGGGCUAGCCUCAAGCAGUAAGCAUAGGCGGUAGAGCACUGAUCGGGAUAGGGUCCGUAAAGGAUACCGAACCCUGUCAAACUACGAAUGGUUAUGCUGCAGAGCUUGGGAGUCAGACUACGAGAGAUAAGUCCCGUUGUCAAAAGGGAAACAGCCCAGACCGUCAGCUAAGGUCCCCAAUGCCAUACUAAGUGGAAAAGGAUGUGGGGUCUCAUAAACAACCAGGAUGUUGGCUCAGAAGCAGCCACCAUUUAAAGAGUGCGUAAUAGCUCACUGGUCGAGAGGCCCUGCGCCGAAGAUUCCCGGGGCUAAAGUAUGGAACCGAAGCUACGGAUGCGGUACUUGUACCGCGUGGUAGAGGAGCGUUCCCAUUGGGUUGAAGUCGUCCUGGAAGGGACGGUGGACUGGUGGGAAGUGAGAAUGUUGGCAUGAGUAGCGAAAAGAUAGGUGAGAAUCCUAUCCACCGAAAGCAUAAGGAUUCCUGAGCAACGAUCGUCGUCUCAGGGUAAGUCGGGACCUAAUCCGAGGCAUGGAGCGUAGGAGAUGGACAACUGGUUGAUAUUCCAGUACCGGCAGCAAUCGUUUGAACGAUGGAGUGACGCAGGAAGGCAGGUCCGCGCGAGAAUGGUAGAUCGCGUACAAGCGUGCAGGCUGGUGCACAGGCAAAUCCGUGUACUGAGGCUGAGGCGUGAUGUGGAGGGAACUUGUUCCCGAAGGGAUUGAGCCUACGCUGCCGAGAAAAGCUUCUAGUGAGAAAGCUGCCGCCCGUACCGUAAACCGACACAGGUAUGCGGGGAGAGAAUCCUAAGGUGCGCGGGAGAACCCUCGUUAAGGAACUCGGCAAAAUGUACCCGUAACUUCGGGAUAAGGGUAGCCACAGUGGUGAAGGGACUUGCUCCUGGAGCCUAGUGUGGUCGCAGAGAAGAGGCCCAAGCGACUGUUAACCAGAAACACAGGUGCCUGCGAAAGAGAAAUCUGAUGUAUAGGUGCUGACACCUGCCCAGUGCUGGAAGGUUAAAGAAGGAUGUCCGGGUUCGACCCAAAGCAUUUGACUGAAGCCCCAGUGAACGGCGGCCGUAACUAUAACGGUCCUAAGGUAGCGAAAUUCCUUGUCGGGUAAGUUCCGACCCGCACGAAAGGUGUAACGAUUUGGGCACUGUCUCAACGAGGGACCCGGUGAAAUUGAAAUACCUGUGAAGAUGCAGGUUACCCGCGACUGGACAGAAAGACCCCAUGGAGCUUUACUGUAACCUAAUAUUGGGUUCUGAUAUUCGACGCACAGGAUAGGUGGGAGGCUUGGAGCAUGGUCCUCUGGGAUCAUGGGAGCCGCCGUUGGGAUACCACCCUUCGAAUAUCGGGAUUCUAACCGCAGGAGCAACGAUCCUCGGGACAGUGUUAGGCGGGCAGUUUGACUGGGGCGGUCGCCUCC